GAGAAGUGGCAGAGUGGUCGAAUGCGGCAGACUCGAAAUCUGUUAUAGGGUUUUUCUCUAUCGGGGGUUCAAAUCCCUCCUUCUCC
rnacentral:tRNA from 1 species